rnacentral:rRNA from 1 species
AUUGAACGCUGGCGGCAGGCCUAACACAUGCAAGUCGAACGGUAGCACAGAGAGCUUGCUCUCGGGUGACGAGUGGCGGACGGGUGAGUAAUGUCUGGGAAACUGCCCGAUGGAGGGGGAUAACUACUGGAAACGGUAGCUAAUACCGCAUAACGUCUUCGGACCAAAGUGGGGGACCUUCGGGCCUCACACCAUCGGAUGUGCCCAGAUGGGAUUAGCUAGUAGGUGGGGUAAUGGCUCACCUAGGCGACGAUCCCUAGCUGGUCUGAGAGGGUGACCAGCCACACUGGAACUGAGACACGGUCCAGAUUCCUACGGGGGGCAGCAGUGGGGAAUAUUGCACAAUGGGCGCAAGCCUGAUGCAGCCAUGCCGCGUGUAUGAAGAAGGCCUUCGGGUUGUAAAGUACUUUCAGCGGGGAGGAAGGCGAUGUGGUUAAUAACCGCAUCGAUUGACGUUACCCGCAGAAGAAGCACCGGCUAACUCCGUGCCAGCCGCCGCCGUAA